CUACGGGGCGCAGCAGUGGGGAAUAUUGCACAAUGGGGGAAACCCUGAUGCAGCGACGCCGCGUGAGUGAAGAAGUAUUUCGGUAUGUAAAGCUCUAUCAGCAGGGAAGAAAGAAAUGACGGUACCUGACUAAGAAGCCCCGGCUAACUACGUGCCAGCAGCCGCGGUAAUACGUAGGGGGCAAGCGUUAUCCGGAUUUACUGGGUGUAAAGGGAGCGUAGACGGUUGUGCAAGUCUGAAGUGAAAGCCCGGGGCUCAACCCCGGGACUGCUUUGGAAACUGUGUAACUAGAGUGCAGGAGAGGUAAGUGGAAUUCCUAGUGUAGCGGUGAAAUGCGUAGAUAUUAGGAGGAACACCAGUGGCGAAGGCGGCUUACUGGACUGUAACUGACGUUGAGGCUCGAAAGCGUGGGGAGCAAACAGGAUUAGAUACCCUGGUAGUC
rnacentral:rRNA from 1 species